rfam:Nestor notabilis contig21111, whole genome shotgun sequence.
GCUCAUGGCUGCUCAGUAGUCGGUGUAGGAUCUGUCUGACGGUCUCACUAACAGCUACAUCUGAUUACUGGGUCACCCAAGGGCGAC